UACGUAGGGGGCAAGCGUUGUCCGGAUUUAUUGGGCGUAAAGAGCGUGUAGGCGGUUAGGUAGGUCCGUUGUGAAAACUCGAGGCUCAACCUCGAGACGUCGACGGAAACCAUCUGGCUAGAGUCCGGAAGAGGAGAGUGGAAUUCCUGGUGUAGCGGUGAAAUGCGCAGAUAUCAGGAAGAACACCCGUGGCGAAGGCGGCUCUCUGGGGACGGUACUGACGCUGAGACGCGAAAGCGUGGGGAGCGAACAGG
rnacentral:rRNA from 1 species